UAUCAGUCUUACUUUGACCAUAAGAUAAACUCGUAGUCUUACUAAUUCAUUUAAAAUGAAAGCAUUCUUGCUUAUAUUUGCCGUUAUAAUGGCACUGUUUACGUUAACUUCAGCAAUGGACAUCGAAACUGAACACAAACCUCUGGUGGAACGAAUCAAACGUGAAAAUUGUGAUUACCGUGAAUGUGACCAGUUCUGCAGACACCUAGGUCUUCCUGGAGGAGCCUGUGUCAGGAAUAAAUGCGAUUGCGACAGAUUUUGAUUUAUUGAUGUUAAUUAUAUUUGAAAAGUCUUAUUUAUUAUUCUAAUUAAAUAUAAUAGUUAAAUAAUUCC